AUUGAACGCUGGCGGCAUGCUUUACACAUGCAAGUCGAACGGUAACAGGGAGCUUGCUCCGCUGACGAGUGGCGAACGGGUGAGUAAUGCGUCGGAACGUGCCGAGUAGUGGGGGAUAACGCAUCGAAAGGUGUGCUAAUACCGCAUACGUACUGAGGUAGAAAGUGGGGGACCUUCGGGCCUCACGCUAUUCGAGCGGCCGACGUCUGAUUAGCUAGUUGGUGAGGUAAGGGCUCACCAAGGCGACGAGCAGUAGCGGGUCUGAGAGGAUGAUCCGCCACACUGGGACUGAGACACGGCCCAGACUCCUACGGGAGGCAGCAGUGGGGAAUUUUGGACAAUGGGCGCAAGCCUGAUCCAGCCAUGCCGCGUGUCUGAAGAAGGCCUUCGGGUUGUAAAGGACUUUUGUCCGGGAGCAAAUGCUGGUGGCUAACAUCCACCGGAGCUGAGAGUACCGGAAGAAUAAGCACCGGCUAACUACGUGCCAGCCGCCGCAGUAAGAC
rnacentral:rRNA from 1 species